CCACCUCGCCCGUCCCCCUCCUUUCCGUUACGCCUGGGGUAGCCGCCAAGGAUCCCCUCCUCCACCGCUCCCUUUUUCACUGGGCAGAUAAGCAGAAAGGGGCACGAGUUUGUGGGAGCAGUGUCGCCGUCUUCAGCGCAGGGGAGCACGAGCCGCCGAAGAGAGGAGGAGGAGGAGGAGGAGGUGCCAGGGCGGGGCUCAGCAGCGCAGGUCAAGUGCGGGCCAGUGACCCGCUGUGGAAACCCUAGCCGCCAUGGUCUCGUGCCCCCUCGAGCUCGCGUCGAUUCACGUGCUGCCACCUCCCCGUCCCUCCUCGAGCUCGUCUUGGUCCUGCUAGCCGAGCUGCUGUUUGGAACCUUGGUUGCGCUGCAUCUAAAGGGCGGAGACAAUGGAUGGAACAAAAGAUGGAUCGUCGCACAGAGGCACGAGCCUGGCGGCUAAUGAAGGAGAGAGUGGCAUAUGGAGGAUGAGAAGGUGGAGGAGGUGGUAUAUGGAGGGUGAGCAGGCGGACGAGGUGGCACUCCCACAACCUGCACCUGGCUUGUCACGCGAGAAUCAGCAAUGCAACAUACUUGUGUUUGUGCCUUUUUAAUCGC